GGCAGUCUCACUAUUCCGUCUGCAUGUUUCACAAAUAGAGUUUGGAGCAGUGGAGGCUUAUAUGAGACUACAGCCAAUGAGCUCGAGUUGAAAAAGAAAAUAGCUUACAGCACGUGGUAUUCCCCGGUGAAGCAGUCAACGGAGGAUUCACUCAGUACCAGAUGGAACAUGCCUACACAUCAGUGCACCGUGUGCGACAAGACAUUCGGUGAAAAGUCCAACCUGGCGAGUCAUCUGAAGAUCCAUGCAGACGCCAGGGAGACCUUUACCUGUGAUGUCUGCGGGAAGAGCUUGGCCACUAAACCAUCGCUGGUCAGCCAUCAACAGCUACACCAGUACCCCAACAUCAUUUUGUACCGGCUAGGAGAGGCCAGGCUGUACUGUACAGAGGCAGCAAGGUCUGUGGCAGAGGCCCGCAGCAGCACUGUUGUUGACCCUAAAUGGCUGGAUCUCAAGACAGCAGAGACCUUUGGAAAGGUCAGCUGGUCAUCACGUUCGGGAAGCACGCCGGUCAGACCUUCAGGUGGCUUGUGGAGAAUGAUGUCGGCUGGCUGGUGUGGCUGCUGUUCCAGUACUGCCAGCAGGGAGAGCAGAACGAGCUGCUGAAGUGGCAGAAGGAGCGACUGCUCCGCCAGACCGGCCUCAGGUCCAGUACCGGCACAUCCAUCACCAGGCUGGAAAGAGACGUGGUGAGAAGCGGAGCU